GGUGUGUGGUCGCAGGAUGGGGGGAGAUGGUGGUAGAUAGGUGUCUGGUUAUUACCAGAACAAUGUUUCCUGAUGUCCUUUCCUUGUUGGCUUUUGUACCUGAGGGGAUAAGCAGCUAUUAAUUAGAAUAGGCCCCAGGUGGCAGGAAGAGGUUACUGGGUCAACCAGGAACAAAAGAAGCUAUUUCUAGUGCAACAUGAAAUUGAAAAUAAAAAGCAUGACCCGGGGUUCUCUGUGCAGGUUCCCCUCUUCCAAGAUGGGUGCCAAAUGACGAGUAUCAGGUGUCUAUGGCAAGAUUUGGGGAGGAUCCCAGACCUUAACAGCCCUUUGGUUGAAUCCUCUCACAAUGUGGCAGUGCCUGCUGCCUUGGGCUGCCUUGAACCUGCAAGGUUUUAGCUCCUCCUCC
rnacentral:lncRNA from 1 species